AUGUAUCAGUACAAACCUUCAUAAGGUGAAACCGCGAACGGCUCAUUAUAACAGCUAUAAUUUACUAGACCUUGAGCAAUUACUUGGAUACCUGAGGUAAUUCUUGAGCUAAUACAUGCACCGAAGUUGUUCCUUGCGGAGCAAUGCAUUUAUUUGAGCAAAACCAGGCGGCUUCGGCCGUUUCUGUUGAUUCAGAAUAACUAAGCUGAUCGCAUGGGCUUGUCCCGGCGACGUGUCUUUCAAGUGUCUGCCUUAUCAACUUUCGAUGGUAGUGUACGUGACUACCAUGGUGUUGACGGGUAACGGAGGAUAAGGGUUCGACUCCGGAGAAGGGGCCUGAGAAAUGGCCACUACGUCUAAGGAUGGCAGCAGGCGCGCAAAUUACCCACUCUCGGUUCGAGGAGGUAGUGACGAAAAAUAACAAGGCCGUUCUCUUUGAGGCCGGCCAUUGGAAUGGGUACAACUUAAACCCUUUAACGAGUAUCAAUGAGAGGGCAAGUCUGGUGCCAGCAGCCGCGGUAAUUCCAGCUCUCAAAAUGCAUAGAACCAUUGCUGCGGUUAAAAAGCUCGUAGUUGGAUCUGUGCCGGCGACGUGGUCCGCCUUAACCGGCGGUACUGCGCUCGUCGGCUUUGGGCCGGUCUUCGGUCGGUCGCCUUCACUGGCGGCUGCUCGUGGCUGGCUGGUUUACUUUGAGCAAAUCAGAGUGCUCAGCACAGGCGUCUCGCCGGAAUGUUCGUGCAUGGAAUAAUAGAAUAGGAUUUCGGUUCUCUUUUAUUGGUUUUGUGAACUGAGAUAAUGGUUAACAGAGACGGACGGGGGCAUUCGUAUUGCUGCGUGAGAGGUGAAAUUCUUGGACCGCAGCAGGACGGACUACAGCGAAAGCA
rnacentral:rRNA from 1 species